ACUGCGAGGCAGGCAGUGAUGCUGCGGCCGCUUCGCACUGUGGCUCCUGCCGACCGCCAGGCGCUGUUACAGUGGAUGCGAACUAACCCAUUAUAUCGUACUGCAGAAACCAGCUCAACUAUGCAAAACUACCACCAGGACUGGCCGACACCAGGAGGGAUUCCAGAGACCACACUGCAGGGAGCAUACAGAAAGAAAAUUAAGAGAUCAGAUGCAGCAGCAGCCGGAACCCACAGUUCACCUUGGUGCAUUCCUUUAUGAUGAAGACUUAUUGAUUCAUUAUAUGAGAAAGGAAAAAUGAGCAGAAACUACUGUAUGAUGUGCAGCUCACACCAGACAGCAACUUUAGCACAUGUGCCUCACUCUUCAUGGUAAAUGUUUUACUGAAGAAUAACAUACAGAAAAGUGGACAAGUCUUAACUGCACAGCUCAAUGAAUUUCCAUGAAGUAAAUAUACCCAUAUGAUAAUCCAGCUCAAGAAACAGAAAAUCACUACCACCCCAGAAGACUGCCUUAUACUACCAUCUUUUAAGAGUGAAUCACACAUGGGGUACUCCUUGUAUCUGGCCUCUUUCUUUUUUUCUUUCUUUUUAAUUAUUAUUUUUGUUUGAGAUGGAGUCUCAUUCUGUCACCCAGGCUAGAGUGCAGUGUCAUGAUCUCGGCUCACUGUAACCUCUGCCUCCCGGGUUCAAGCAAUUCUCCUGCCUCAGCCUCCUGAGUAGCUGGGACUACAGGCACCCGCCACCACGCCCAGCUGAUUUUUGUAUUUUUGGUAGAGACAGGGUUUCGCCAUGUUGGCCAGGCUGGUCUCGAACUUCUGUCCUCAGGUGAUCCACCCACCUCGGCCUCCCAAAGUGCUGGGAUUACAGGCGUGAGCCACUGCACCCGGCCUGUUUCCAGCCUUUGUUCAACAUUAUGUUUGUGAAGUUAAUCUGUGUUGUUUUAUGUAAUUAUAGUUCACUCAUUCUUUCAUGGGCUUAAAUCUUUUUACAAUAAAAUUUUAAGAGAAUAAAAUUGUAAAAAAAAAAAGCUCAUGACAUGCAAUAAACUGUAUAAUUUGAUGCGUUUUGACAUGUAUACACCCAUAUCAGUACCACAGUCAAGAUCAUGAAUACAUCUAUUUCCUCAAAAUAGUCCAUGAAUUUUUUUUUUUGAGACAGAAUCUCGCUCUGUCGCCCAGGCUGUAGUGCAGCGCGCGAUCUCGGUUCACUGCAACCUCAGUCUCCCGGGUUCAAGCAAUUCUCCUGCCUCAGCCUCCCGAGUAGCUGGGACUACAGACGCGUGCAACC
rnacentral:lncRNA from 1 species